rnacentral:rRNA from 1 species
ACCCCAACAGCUAGUCCACUAACAAAGCCUAAACAAACAACAUUAAUACCCCCGCAAACACCACCUAGCACAUGAUUAAACCAUUCUGCCCCCUGAGUAUAGGAGAUAGAAAAGGACAUUUGACACGACAGAAAAAGUACCGCAAGGGAAAGCUGAAAGAGAGUUGAAAAAGCGCAGUAAAGGUAAUAGAAGCAGAGACUAAAUCUUGUACCUUUUGCAUCAUGAUUUAGCCAGUAACCCUCAGGCGAAAAGACUUUUAUGUUUGAGCCCCCGAAACUAAGCGAGCUACUCCAAGACAGCCUAUUAUAGGGCAAACCCGUCUCUGUGGCAAAAGAGUGGGAAGAGCUUUGAGUAGAGGUGACAGACCUACCGAGCCUAGUGAUAGCUGGUUUCCUGAAAACCGAAUAGAAGUUCAGCCUUUUGACUUUUCCGACCAAAGAAGGUCUCACCUCCUCCCGGCCCCGAGAACAUCAAGAGAGUAAUUCAAGAGAGGUACAGCUCUCUUGAACAAAGACACAACUUUUAGUAGAAGGUUAAAGAUCAUAACAACUGAAGGUGUAGUACCCAAGUGGGCCUAAAAGCAGCCACCCUUAUAGAAAGCGUUAAAGCUCAAGUACUAUCCCCCCAAUAAUCCCGACGACAUAAUCUAACACCCCUUCACUUAUCAGGACAUCCCAUGCUCCCAUGGGAAAGAUACUGCUAACAUGAGUAAUAAGAGAGCUACGACUCUCUCGCAUGCACCCGUGUAAAUCAGAACGAACCCCUCACUGAAAAUUAACGCCCCCAAUAUCGCAGAGGAAAUUGAGUUAAACUAGCUAAAUCUAGAAAACCCCUCAACUAACAGCGUUGACCCUACACAGGGGUGCCCCCCGAAAGACAUAAAGAGAAAGAAGGAACUCGGCAAACCAUGGCCUCGCCUGUUUACCAAAAACACCGCCUCUUGCCCCCACAAUAUAAGAGGUCCCGCCUGCCCUGUGACGAAAGUUUAACGGCCGCGGUAUUUUGACCGUGCGAAGGUAGCGUAAUCACUUGUCUUUUAAAUAGAGACCUGUAUGAAUGGCAUAACGAGGGCUAAGCUGUCUCCUUUCUCCAGUCAAUGAAAUUGAUCUGCCCGUGCAGAAGCGGGCAUACACCCAUAAGACGAGAAGACCCUAUGGAGCUUCAGACACCAGAGCAGAUCACGUUAAAACCCCCUCUGCCACCAGGAAUAAACCAAGUGAGUUCUGCCCCCAUGUCUUUGGUUGGGGCGACCGCGGAGUAAUAUAAAACCCCCACGUGGAAGGGGUACCCCCCUAAAGUCAGAGCCACAGCUCUAGCGAACAGAAUUUCUGACCAUAAAGAUCCGGCACCGCCGAUCAACGGACCCAGUUACCCUAGGGAUAACAGCGCAAUCCCCUUCUAGAGCCCAUAUCGACAAGGGGGUUUACGACCUCGAUGUUGGAUCAGGACUUCCUAAUGGUGCAGCCGCUAUUAAGGGUUC